CGUGUUGUCGCAGCUGUAAGGGAGAAGAGGAAUAGGUGGAGGCCGAGAAGGAGAGGAGAGGUCCUGGGUUUUUGCAGGAGAUCCAGUCCUGAGUUGGAGUCCAGUGGAGCGAUGAGACCCUAGGAAGGAUCUGAAGAGGCAGGCCGUGGA